AAAUAUGGCGGAAUCUGUAUUGUCAAACACGGAAGAAGAAGAAUACAACCAUAAUUAAACCAAGAAGUUUAUGAAGAAGGGAUCACUGGAUUUUGUCACUUUGGUACAAGAAACAGAAAAGGAUAUCAUAGACCACCUUACUUAUACGGAAGCAUAGGAGCUGUUGAAGGAAAUUGCUGCCAGACAGUCAGCAGUUAUCACUGACAGCCUGUCCUGGCCCAGCUUGGACCAUCCUCAAGCUAACCAUGAUGAAAAAGGGUUAAGUGGUGACUGAUCCUCUCACCCUCCUUAUCCAGGAAACGUUUCGGAACAACGUGUUGGCACUGAAGAUGUGGAGGACACAGAUUGAUCACAGUACAUCCUUUGGAUACAUGGACAUCUUCAACGGGACGACAACAAAACUGUACCUGCCUUUUUUUUGACAGGAAGUAGUUAAUAAAAUUAUUGUUAACAGCUUUUUUAGUCUUGUUG